AUUGAACGCUGGCGGCAGGCUUAACACAUGCAAGUCGAGCGGAGCGAGGGUGCUUGCACCUUAGCUUAGCGGCGGACGGGUGAGUAAUGCUUAGGAAUCUGCCUAUUAGUGGGGGACAACAUUCCGAAAGGAAUGCUAAUACCGCAUACGCCCUACGGGGGAAAGCAGGGGAUCUUCGGACCUUGCGCUAAUAGAUGAGCCUAAGUCGGAUUAGCUAGUUGGUGGGGUAAAGGCCUACCAAGGCGACGAUCUGUAGCGGGUCUGAGAGGAUGAUCCGCCACACUGGGACUGAGACACGGCCCAGACUCCUACGGGAGGUAGCAGUGGGGAAUAUUGGACAAUGGGCGGAAGCCUGAUCCAGCCAUGCCGCGUGUGUGAAGAAGGCCUUUUGGUUGUAAAGCACUUUAAGCGAGGAGGAGGCUCUUAAGGUUAAUACCCUUGAUGAGUGGACGUUACUCGCAGAAUAAGCACCGGCUAACUCUGUGCCAGCCGCCGCCGUAA
rnacentral:rRNA from 1 species